AGUACGCACUGCGCUUCAGCUUCAGGCCUGAAGCCACGCGCGAACGAGGAAGUACAAGAGUCCUUCCUGGCGAGCGCGGCCAUCCUUGGUGGUGGAUAUCUCUUUCAUCCUCAGUACAUACAAUCGCCAGCCAUCGAGAUGCAGCCUGAGAUCUCCCAUGGAUCAUAUCGGAGCUGAUGAGGGCAGAAGCAAGAACGCAAGGGAGUUCCUGCAGGGGCGACCUGCGAACACAUGCGAGGAUUACCGCCCCGCUGCCGCCGGGUAGGGCAUGCAUGUGUUCUCAGGUCGCCCCCGCCGGGCCCUCCUUGCUGGCGCCGACGCCUGGGACGACGGACGGAGGCCCACGACGUACGGCGACAGCGAGCCACCUCCUCAAAACUAAGGCGACCUCCAGCCUCUUCCCAUUGGCGCCACCACGAAACCGGUUGCUGCCUCGUCGGCGUUGCCCCGCGACCCCGUCGGCGUCGCCCCGCGACCCCGUCGGCUAGCCAGCUCCGCCACACGCGCGAGCUGCUGCGGGCACAAGCUCUGCCACGGGCGGGCACCGGCCGCGCAUGAGUCACGACCUGCGCGAGCUCUACCACUAACAGGCUCCGCCCCACGCGAGCCGGAGCUCUGGCGGGCACACGCAUCAUUGUCGGUGGGUGAAUACCAGUGAUUCGUGGAAUUCUCAUUUAGAGAUUCGACCAGGGGCUGAACACGCUGUAUAGCACGACUGGUGAUCACACGUACACUUUACCCAGGUUUAGGCCUCCCGGUGGAUAAAAGCCCUAUGUCCUGCUUAUCUAUAUAUAUAUUUGCAGUUGUGUAUAUGAAUCUGAAAAUAUAUGGGGAGACAGCUCGUCCUUGAGCUUUGGAAUCUGAGGAGGGAAGAAGCCGUCGCCCCCUUGCUUGCCUCGAGGCUCCUGUUUUAUAUCCAAGAGGGAUCCCCACAUUGAGGGUAUGUACACCGAAAACAAGUAAGGUGUUUCUUCUACAGUUGACUUCUGUUGGGUGUAAUUCAAUGCAAGGAUGCACCUCAUAUCCUCUUUAUUUAUUGCAUGCAUGCAUCUCUCUCCACCCACUUGCUCCUUAGUGGUGUGGAUAUCAAGAUAGAGAGAUGCAUGCACAUAUAGGGAAUAAGAGAGAGCACGUGAUGCUAAUUUAUAUCAUAUCUUAUCUCUAGGGAAUUGAAAGACUUUCUCAUCCAUUAUCUCUAGGGAAUUGAAAGACUUUCUCAUCCAUUUUAGCCCAUGCACCUCGAGUGCAUGGUGUAUGCGCACACCGGAGUGCAUGGUGUAUGCGCAAUUCUUCCUCCAUUAAUAUUAGUUGGUGGUCUUUAUCUUGGGACAUGCGUCCAUGCAUGUUAGGAUAAGGUAGCAGGUGGUAAACUUGUAUGUCCUUCCAUAUUUAUUGUGAGAGUUGGACGGUUCCACCAGCCUGUCAUGCUACCACGCACCACCCAUCAGCAUCAGUCUUGAGUUAUUUAACAAUGACUGCUCCUACACUUGUCAUAUCUUUUCCUUCAGAGCAAAGGAAACUAUCACCUCCCAAGGUACCGAGCCGCACCCCGGGGUCAUCCAGGGGUGCCGAGCUGCACCCAAGACAUGUGGGUUAGGUAAGCCCAUCUCGCAUGCGUCAUGGCGGUCGAGCGUCUCCAUGAACUGUCUGCGAAGGGGACUCCCCGCUCUCUGUACCCCCUAAGCUAGCUCCAUCGCGUGUGCAUGCCAUCGCGGGUGCGAGCUCUGCCGUGGGUGGGCACCGCCGUGCGCGAGCCACCGCGAGCUCACCCUAGGCCAGCUCCGUCGCGCGCUUAGGGAGGAUGAAGGAGAUGCUGACGAGCUCGUCAAUAAGAGAGGAAGAGAGUUGAGUGUCAGGGAUGCGGAUGACAUGUGGGGUCCCUUUGUAAGUGAGAGAGCCGACCAGGGGCGGGCUCCAUUGAAUUCAAUGGUAUUCAACUGAAUACCCAUUAUUUUGGGA